AGCGAACGUUUGCGGCGGGCUUAACACAUGCAAGUCGAACGGGCUGUUCCUUCGGGGGCGAGUCAGUGGCGCACGGGUGGCGUAACACGUAGGUAAUCAACCCUCUGGUUGGGGAGUAACACUUCGAAGGAGUGCUAAUACCCGGUAUGGCGCAGCGGUCUUCAGAUCGCGGCGAGAAAGACCCGCAAGGGUUGCCAGAGGACGAGCCUGCGGCCCAUCAGCUAGUUGGCGAGGUAACGGCUCACCAAGGCGAAGACGGGUAGCUGGUCUGAGAGGAUGAUCAGCCACACUGGAACUGAGACACGGUCCAGACUCCUACGGGAGGCAGCAGUGGGGGAAUAUUGCGCAAUGGGCGAAAGCCUGACGCAGCCACGCCGCGUGAGCGAUGAAGGCCUUCGGGUCGUAAAGCUCUGUGGGGAGAGAAGAAUAAAGCCUGUGAAGAGCAGGCCUUGACGGUAUCUCCUUAGCAAGCACCGGCUAACUCCGUGCC
rnacentral:rRNA from 1 species